AAUGAACGCUGGCGGCAUGCCUAAUACAUGCAAGUCGGGCGGAAGCACAGAGAAGUUUGCUCUCUGGGUGUCGCGUCGGGCACGGGAGUGACAUAUAGCGGACCGUACUGUGAAACGGGGGUUAAUUAAUCGAAAGGUUACCUAUUCCGGCAAAUUUUUUGAGGAGGAAAGCUCAGGAGUUACGGGCGUUGUGUCAUUCGCUUAGCCGAGGACUGAUUAGCUAGUUGGUGGGGUAAAGGCCUACCAAGGCGACGAUCAGUAGCGGGUCUGAGAGGUUGAUCCGCCACACUGGGACUGAGACACGGCCCAGACUCCUACGGGAGGCAGCAGUGGGGAAUUUUCGGCAAUGGGCGCAAGCCUGAUCCAGCAAUGCCGCGUGAGUGAUGAAGGCCUUCGGAUUGUAAAGCUCUUUUGUCAGGGAAGAAAAGACUGUUAAGAAAAUCGGCAGCUGAUGACGGUACCUAAAGAGAAAGCACCGGCUAACUACGUG
rnacentral:rRNA from 1 species